CCUGCUGAAGAGCAUUCUGCCUGUGUUGGGGUUUGCAUUGCUUAUUUUAGAAGGAGGAGGGAUUUAAGGAGUGAGCUGGCAAUUCCAGUAUCAGCAGGAGCUGAUCCCAGCAGCAAAACAUAAUCACUGGGAACGGAGAAAAUCCAGGAGGUUUUGCUGGAACUGAGCAAGAGCUUGACAGCUGGCAAAUGUUCAUUAAGAUGCUUUACAACCAAGAUUAAUCCUACUGGAAACUUGACUUCAUCGAUGCACUCACUACGUAAGCUGCAUUUUCUUAGCAGGUAUGUGGGAAAAUAUUUCUGUCCUUUUGCACGUGCUUCUCUUGGGCUUUGUUUCUGUUAGCCUCCAAGCAU
rnacentral:lncRNA from 1 species